GACGUAGGGCGCGAGCGUUGUCCGGAUUUAUUGGGCGUAAAGAGCUCGUAGGCGGCUUGUUGCGUCGGCUGUGAAAUCCCAUGGCUCAACUGUGGGCUUGCAGCCGAUACGGGCAGACUUGAGUACUGCAGGGGAGACUGGAAUUCCUGGUGUAGCGGUGAAAUGCGCAGAUAUCAGGAGGAACACCGGUGGCGAAGGCGACAUCCUGGACCGGUAUUGACGCUGAGGCGCGAAAGCCAGGGGAGCAAACGGG
rnacentral:rRNA from 1 species